rnacentral:tRNA from 6 species
GGAAGGUGAGUUUGGCUAGAUGAAAUUUUCACAUUUUUGGACAGGGGUUCAAUUCCCCUCGUCUCCACCA